CACAGGCGAUAGAGAAAUGUUAUAGGAUAAGGGGGAGAGAAAAAGAGGGGCACUAGGUGGGGUUUGGGCUUUGAAGGUGAUAUUCUGCCCAAGGAGUGACCAAUUAGAAGGGAGUAUCAAGAGACAAAGAACUACAACCUUUAUAAACCUUUACAAAAAAGAGUUUAGUGGGCUACCCCUGGGACCCCCUCCUUAUGUGGGAGUCUGUAUUUGCUCCCAAUAAAUUUCCACUCUUUUCAUCUAUCACCUUUUGUCCAUGGCUUCAUGCUUCCAACCCAUCUGGACAAGGAACCCAGAAAGAAAUCACCCUUGCAUCCUGCUCAGGAAAACAACCCAAAUCAACUCACAUGACCGAGCCAUCACAGUGCUUGUGAAGAUAUGUGCUCCAAAUGCCGAGCAGCUGCACAUGGUUAAUCACUUGAAAAGUAGCCCAGCAGCAGAGAAGAGAAAUGCGCUGGAGGGAAGUGCCAGAAGAGCCUGGUACUCACCUAGUUUGGUUUGCUGAUGCAGACCAAGCAACUGCUGUAAAAGAGCCGAGAUGCAAACACAGCUGCGGGGACGUGAGUGAAUCUGCCAGGAUGCCACCAACAAGCGGUGCAGACAUGCGCUUUCCUGGCACGGCCCCUCUGCAUGAAAUUUGUGAUGAAAUGAGGGAAAGGGUGGGGAUGUUUUAUAAUGUAUUUGAAAAAUGAUGCUUUGGUUAUAAUAUUUAGAAGAAAUUAUGCAUGUGAAAAUAUUUUUGCUCUGACCAAAUGAAUUACAUACACACCCUAUCAUGUGAUGAUAGAUACUCUCAGUGUGAUCUUGACCCAAAGAUGAAAUAACCAUUAUUGAAUUUUUUAGACACAUAGUGUUCCUAUACAAACACAUUGUCAUUUUUAUUUACUUAUCUCAAAGGCUUUUUCCGGAACCUCCAGGUUGGUUCCAAUAUUGAAAGGAAUUUUUUAGGGGUAAAAUAGGCAGGUUUAGGAAAUCUUAGGAAUUAAGGGGUCCAUGGAAAAUGCACAGGGCUACAGAGCAGCAGAAGAUACAUUUCCAUAAGAUAAGGGAUCUGGGACCUGCAGAAGGUACAUUUCCAUAGGAUAAGGGAGCUGGGAGCUGCAGAAGGUACAUUUCCAUAGAAUAAGGGAGCUGGGAGCUGCAGAAAGUACAUUUCCAUAGAAUAAAGGAGCCAGGAGCUGCAGAAGGUAUACAUUUGCAGAAUAAAGGGAAGGAAGCCCCUCAUUCAGAGAGGGAAGAGGAGAGCCCAAAGGGAACAGGAAAACAAUAAGGGAGAAGAAGAGGAGAACUUCACACACCUCACCUGAGGUUUGAGCUCUGAAGUUGCUAUAGUGACCAAAUUAGAGGGGGUAGUGACCAGUCAGAGGGGAUGCCAGGGCACAAAGAACUGCAGCCUUUAUAAACCGUGGAAAAGAGGGACUUAGUGGGACUCUCCCUCCCCAUGUG